rnacentral:snoRNA from 1 species
UCUGGCAAUGAUGACAUCCUUGCCCUCACUGAGAACGGGUGUUCAGUAAUGAAAAUAUUGUUAUGUACUCAGAUGUGCUGAGCUAGA